rnacentral:rRNA from 1 species
CUACGGGAGGCAGCAGUGAGGAAUAUUGGUCAAUGGGCGUAAGCCUGAACCAGCCAAGUAGCGUGCAGGAUAGGACGGCCCUAUGGGUUGUAAACUGCUUUUAUGCGGGGAUAAAAGAGCCCACGUGUGGGUUUUUGCAGGUACCGCAUGAAUAAGGACCGGCUAAUUCCGUGCCAGCAGCCGCGGUAAUC